UACGUAGGGUGCAAGCGUUGCCCGGAUUUAUUGGGCGUAAAGGGUGCGUAGGCGGUGCGGUAAGUCUGUUGUGAAAUCUCCGGGCUCAACUCGGAGUCUGCAUCAGAAACUGCCGUGCUGGAGUGUGGGAGAGGUGAGUGGAAUUCCCGGUGUAGCGGUGAAAUGCGUAGAGAUCGGGAGGAACACCUGCGGCGAAAGCGGCUCACUGGACCAUAACUGACGCUGAUGCACGAAAGCUAGGGGAGCAAACAGG
rnacentral:rRNA from 1 species